GACGAACGCUGGCGGCGUGCUUAACACAUGCAAGUCGAACGGAAAGGCCCUGCUUUUGUGGGGUGCUCGAGUGGCGAACGGGUGAGUAACACGUGAGUAACCUGCCCUUGACUUUGGGAUAACUUCAGGAAACUGGGGCUAAUACCGGAUAGGAGCUCCUGCUGCAUGGUGGGGGUUGGAAAGUUUCGGCGGUUGGGGAUGGACUCGCGGCUUAUCAGCUUGUUGGUGGGGUAGUGGCUUACCAAGGCUUUGACGGGUAGCCGGCCUGAGAGGGUGACCGGCAUCGUUGGGAGUGGGGUCGGGCCAGGGAGAGGGCGGGAGGGGGGAGGGGGGAGGAAUGAGGCGGGGGCGAGUGCGGGACGCAGCGGCGCGGCGGGGGGGAGCUCGGCCUUGGGCUUGUCAGCCGCUGUCGCGUGAGAGGAAGCGGUGGUGAAGGAACUGGAGAAAGCAGCACGGGAUGACGACUGACCAGAAGCGAGGGUGAUGAUCAAUAGCCAACGGCUGAAC
rnacentral:rRNA from 1 species